AAUGAACGUUGGCGGCGUGGAUUAGGCAUGCAAGUCGCGCGAGAAAUGUAGCAAUACAUGGAAAGCGGCGAAAGGGAGAGUAAUACAUAGGUACGUACCCUUGGGACUGGGAUAGCGGCGGGAAACUGCCGGUAAUACCAGAUGACGUCUCCGAACCAAAGGUGUGAAUCCGCCUGAGGAGCGGCCUAUGUCCUAUUAGCUUGUUGGCGAGGUAACGGCUCACCAAGGCAAAGAUGUGUAUGGGGUGUGAGAGCAUGCCCCCACUCACUGGGACUGAGACACUGCCCAGACACCUACGGGUGGCUGCAGUCGAGAAUCUUCGGCAAUGGACGCAAGUCUGACCGAGCGACGCCGCGUGCGGGAUGAAGGCCUUCGGGUUGUAAACCGCUGUCGUAGGGGAGGAAAUUCUGGUGGGUACUCCCAUCAGAUUGACUGAUCCUAGGAGGAAGGACCGGCUAAUCUCGUGCCAGCAGCCGCCGUAA
rnacentral:rRNA from 1 species